GACGAACGCUGGCGGCGUGCCUAAUGCAUGCAAGUCGAGCGACGCACACCGGAGGGGUAACCCACCGGUAUGACGGAGCGGCGAACGGGUGAGUAACACGUGAGCAACCUGCCCCACAGAUCGGGAUAGCCCAGGGAAACCUGGAUUAAUACCGGAUACCCUCGAGUAACCACAUGAUUGUUCGAGGAAAUGCCUUUGUGCUGUGGGAUGGGCUCGCGGCUUAUCAGCUAGUUGGUGGGGUAACGGCCUACCAAGGCAUCGACGAGUAGCUGGUCUGAGAGGACGAUCAGCCACACUGGGACUGAGACACGGCCCAGACUCCUACGGGAGGCAGCAGCAGGGAAUCUUGCGCAAUGGGCGAAAGCCUGACGCAGCAACGCCGCGUGGGGGAUGAAGGCCUUCGGGUUGUAAACCCCUUUCA
rnacentral:rRNA from 1 species